rnacentral:rRNA from 1 species
GAUGAACGCUGGCGGCGUGCCUAAUACAUGCAAGUCGAGCGAACAGACGAGGAGCUUGCUCCUCUGACGUUAGCGGCGGACGGGUGAGUAACACGUGGAUAACCUACCUAUAAGACUGGGAUAACUUCGGGAAACCGGAGCUAAUACCGGAUAAUAUAUUGAACCGCAUGGUUCAAUAGUGAAAGACGGUUUUGCUGUCACUUAUAGAUGGAUCCGCGCCGCAUUAGCUAGUUGGUAAGGUAACGGCUUACCAAGGCAACGAUGCGUAGCCGACCUGAGAGGGUGAUCGGCCACACUGGAACUGAGACACGGUCCAGACUCCUACGGGAGGCAGCAGUAGGGAAUCUUCCGCAAUGGGCGAAAGCCCGACGGAGCAACGCCGCGUGAGUGAUGAAGGUCUUCGGAUCGUAAAACUCUGUUAUUAGGGAAGAACAAAUGUGUAAGUAACUAUGCACGUCUUGACGGUACCUAAUCAGAAAGCCAUGGCUAACUACG